AAAAUCUAUAAAUACUCUCAAACUUCUUAAAACAUAAAAUUUUCCAUUUAAAGUCCGAAUCAAGUCAAACAAUAUCCUUCUUCUGCAAUUUUGCAGUUUAAAGCUGCCCCUAUAUUUUUCCCCUAUAUCUUUUUCUCCUCCCUCUUUCUUCCUUUCCCGGCCUCGUCGGCGGCGUUCCCUUCGUUUUCCGUCGGAUCUCCGACUUAUCCACCUUCCCUCUCCUCUCUUUAUAUCUAUCCAGAAAAAAAAAGAAAAAAAAGCUAAAAAGAAAAUCUAUUGGAAAAAAAUCAAUAUUUUCUAGGGUUUCAGUAUCUUCUAUCUCAAAAUUCUCAAUCUCAUCGAUUUUGAUUGAUAUCGGCCUUUUAUUUAUAUGAGAUUUUGUAUCUGCGAAUAAAAAGAGGAGAGGGAAGUAAAAAAAAAACAAAAAAAUCGGAAAAAGUUUGAAAAAGAAAAUUAUCUUUAUUAUUAUUAUUAUUAUUUUUUUUGCGUUGAAUAGGGAUGGCACAGGUUCAGGUGCAGCAGCAGCAGCUACAGGGUGGUGUGAAUAAUGCUGGUGGUGUCAACAACCAGUUUGUGACAUCACUGUACGUGGGUGACCUUGAUGUCAAUGUGACCGAUUCACAGCUUUAGGAUCUGUUCAAUCAGCUGGGGCAAGUUGUUUCGGUUCGGGUUUGCAGGGACUUGACUAGCCAACGGUCGCUCGGUUAUGGUUACGUCAAUUAUGGGAACCCUCAAGAUGGUUCGUAUGUUUGACUUAGCUUUGUUGUGUGUUAGCCAUAGCUUUGUUUAGCCACAUGAACGCUUAGGAAUCAUAUAGCUGCUGCAAGGGCAUUGGAAGUGCUGAACUUUACUCCUCUCCAUGGAAAGUCAAUCAGGAUAAUGUACUCAAAUCGAGACCCAACUAUACGAAGAAGUGGCAAUGGGAACAUAUUUAUUAAGAAUUUGGACAAGGCAAUUGACCACAAAGCACUACAUGAUACAUUUUCUGCAUUUGGAAACAUUCUCUCUUGUAAGGUAGCUGUAGAUUCAUCUGGCCAAUCCAAGGGCUAUGGGUUUGUGCAGUAUGACAGCGAUGAAGCUGCCCAAAAAGCUAUCGAGAAACUGAAUGGUAUGCUGCUGAAUGAUAAGCAAGUGUAUGUAGGACCCUUCGUUCGUAAGCAAGAAAGAGAUAUGGCUGUGGAUAAGACAAGAUUUACCAAUGUCUUCGUGAAGAAUUUAUCUAAAUCAACGUUAGAAGAAGAGCUCAGGAAAAUCUUUGGUGAAUUUGGUACUAUUACUAGCGUCGCAGUUAUGAAGGAUGAAGAUGGAAAAUCCAGGUGCUUUGGAUUUGUCAACUUUGAGAAUGCUGAAGAUGCUGCUAGAGCUGUUGAAGCUCUGAAUGGCUACAAAUUGGAUAACAAAGAUUGGUUUGUAGGAAGAGCUCAGAAGAAGUCAGAGAGGGAAAUGGAAUUGAAACAUCGGUUUGAGCAAAGUGCCAAGGAGGUGGUUGACAAAUCACAAGGUUUAAAUCUAUACAUAAAAAAUUUAGAUGACAGCAUUAGUGAUGAAAAGCUUAAGGAAUUGUUCUCUCCCUAUGGCACAAUCACUUCAUGCAAGGUUAUGAGAGAUCCUAGUGGGGUAAGCAAAGGAUCAGGAUUUGUUGCAUUCUCAACCCCUGAAGAGGCUUCAAGAGCGCUCUCGGAGAUGAAUGGAAAGAUGGUUGUUAGCAAACCUCUGUAUGUUGCCCUUGUGCAGCGCAAGGAAGAGAGAAGAGCAAGGUUACAGGCUCAGUUUUCUCAGAUGUGUCCAAUUGCAAUGGCAUCUUCAGUUGCUCCUCGAAUGCCGAUGUACCCUCCUGGCGGUCCUGGUCUAGGUCAACAAAUAUUCUAUGGCCAGCCACCACCAGCUAUGCUUCCCCCACAAGUAAUAAAUCGUCGUGUAUAUUCCAUUUUAACGCUCUCUUGACUUAGUACCGUUUGAAACUCAGGAUUCUCAUUUUUUGUUAUUAUGGGUCGUUUGGUAGGAGGUAUUAGAAAAAAACAAUGCAAGCAUUAACAUUCUGGUUUUGGAUAUCAGCAGCAACUUGUACCUGGAAUGAGGCCUGGUGGGGGACCUAUGCCUAAUUUCUUUAUGCCCGUGGUUCAGCAAGGGCAGCAAGGUCAACGUCCCGGAGGCCGACGUGGAGGUGCUGUUCCAUUGCAGCAGGGACAACAGCCAGUUCCAUUGAUGCAGCAACAGAUGUUUCCAAGGGGGCGUGGUUUCGGUAUCCUCCAGGACGUGGCCUCCCCGAUGGAGCUUUUCCAGGUGUAGGUGGUGGCAUGUUCUCUUAUCCCAUAUGAUAUAGGUGGCAUGCCUGUCCGUGAUGCAGGAACCUUUGAGGGGAAGUAUUGGAUAUCAUAAGCUUCGAGUAGGUAUUCAUUGUUGGGGAGAAUGGAUGUGACAGGAGGGCGCUUUUGGGAAAAGAUAGUUGGAGGAUGAGUGCCGGAGCUACUAGUGCGGUUGGGAAAACUAUAAUAAGCAGGUGCAUCUGGACAGUAUGGAGGAUCAUUUGGAACCAUGACCGAAGUUUGGAUGACGGUAGCGUCUGGGAAGCUAGGUGGUGGCUGGGGUGUUGUCUCAACAUUUUUACCUCUUCAAUUAACCUACUGUCCUGGUCAACCAACUGCUUUCGAGCCCCGUUAUCGGCCAACCCAGUUUUGUUGUUGUCUGCCAUUGCCUUUUGACUUUAUGUUGAAAAAGCAGUUUCAUUGUUGGGGUUGCAUUUCGUUUCAGUUUGGAGUUUCUCAAACAACUGGUUUACCAGAAGCUUUGCGCUGGUACUUUUAUUUUUAUGGCUUUUGGAUUAUUUCUUUGGUGUACUUUUUUGGUACAUAUGCUUGUGCAAGGUUUUCUUGUUGCGGAGCAGGCUUCUUCAUCAGAAAAAAAAAAAAAAGUCAAACAAUAUCCAUUUUCAAACCAAAUUUUACAGAGAUGACAUAAAACAUAUAUUAGAGUUGUAUCGGGCAUAGGAACCAAAAUACGGGACCGAUACCACCGGUUUCUAAUCAGAUUUCUCUUCAAAUUUUCCUUAAAAAUUUUCCGAAAACGAUUAUACUCAAAAAUUCAUUUUUCGCGUUUGGGACCUCAGAAUUCGAUUCCGGGCAUAAGCCCAAGCCCCAUAUUUUUCUACGGAUCAUCUAGGACCAUCGAAUCAUGUGUUUGGGUCUGUUUACCUAAAAUGUUGAUCGAAGUCAAAGUUAUUCAUUUUAACAUAAAAAUUAGCAUUUUUCACAGAAUUUCAUAUUUAAUCUUUUCGGCUAUGCCCCCGGACAGCGCACGUAAAUCAAGGUGACUCAAAAUGAGGUUUUUGAGGCCUCGUAAACAAAAAAAAAAUGAUUAAAAAUAGAUGAUAUCUGUCACUCCCUUUGUGAGGGUGUUAAAAGGAGUCAACUAAGUUAAUUUCUCAAAUAGUCACUUAAUUUAAUGAAUUUAUCUAGCAUUUUAUUUUUCUUUAUUUUAUGACAAUAAAGUCAUUCAACUAUUAUGUGAUUUCUUAAAAGGUCACGCCUGUCAAAUUAUGAUGCAAGGUACACCGAAGAAAACCAACACAAGUGUGUGAAACAAAACAAAUAGAGUCUGUCUCGGGAACAAGAGGAAACAGAGCAUCGGAAUAGAUAGAAGAGAUGCAGGGCAUAUGGAGGCCUGCAGUACUACCUCAGGAUCAUGUGGACUGAAGGGUGGCUCCCGAACUACUGCUGAUAAUCAAAUGCUGCUCCGGAAUCUGCAUAUAGUACACAGUGUCGUAUCAGCACAAUCAACCCUAUGUGCUGGUAAGUAUCCGGCCUAACCCCGGCGAGGUAGUGACAAGGCUAGAACCAAACUCCAGAUAAACCUGUGCAGUUAUAUAAUACAAUGCAGAAAAGUAAACAGGUAAUAAGAAAUUAAAGCUGGGGAAAGGGAAAAUGGUAGCAGAUAAAAUAGAAUAUCAAAGAACAAUAAGAAAACUUUAAUUUAAUAUCUAACACGGAUAUAGAGUAAUAAAGGCAACUUCAUUUUAUAUUUUAUCUUGUUGCAGGCAUGCAACCCGAUCCCAUUUCUCAUAUCUUGUGGUAGUCAUACCACCUGCUCCCAUUUCAUCAAUCUUAUGGUAGGCAUAUCACCCACUUCCAGUUCAUCAUAUCUUGUGGUAAGUGUACCACCUACUCCCAUUUCGUCAAUCUUGUGGUAGGCGUAUCGCCCGCUCCAAUUUUGUCAUAUCUUGUGGUAGGCGUACCACCCGCUCCCAUUUCAUCAAUCUUGUGGUAGGCCUACAACCUGCUCCCAUUUCUAUGUCAUCAUAUAACUACAAGAAAUCCGGCAAGGAACAAAGUAAUAUAAUAACUUCCCAGCAAGGGAACAAAGGCAAUAUAAUAAUUUCCCAGCAAGGGAACAACAAUAUCGAAACAGUCAUCUCGGCAAAGGUGAAUCAGCUGUAACCAACCUUAACUUAGCUUGUACUCAACUCAAUUAAUGAAAAUUCUCAAUCAUAUAUAAGAUCUACGAGGAUGAACAAAGUCUUUGCUCAAUUUAGUGGAUCAUCAGUUAAAGCAUCUGAAAUGCCAUUUACGAACACAACAACUUUCAGUUUAAGACUUACGGUCAUGCUCGACACCAAUGUAUAGAUACUCGUCACCAUGCCUAUACGUUGUACUCAAUAAGAAGCAAGUAUCAAAUAUGACUCAACUCCUAAUCCCUCAAGUUAAGGUUGGACCGAGCACUUACCUCGAUGCCUUGAACACUACUCAAGCCUCUAUUAUAUCUUUUACCCUUGAUUCUACUGCCAAUUCGUUUGUAUCUAAUCUUUAACUACUUAUUUACAUCAAUAAAUGCUAAAUGAAUCAAUCCUAAUGCAUGAAAAUGAGUUUCCCAAAGUUUUACCAAAAAGUCAAAAAUCGCCCCCAUGCCUGCAUGGUCAAAACCUCAGGUUCCAACCAACAUCCAAUUAUCCAUUCCCCCACGAACUCAAAUAUAUAAUUUUUUGAAAUCGGACCUCAAAUUGAGUUCCAAAUCCCCAAUUUUUAAAAAACCUAGGUUCAACUGAGACACCCAAUUUUCCCCAUGAAAAUCGUUGAUUUUAACUUGAAAACAUAUUAAAUGAUGUCAAUGAUUUAAGGAAAUGAGUAAAACCUAACUUACAAUCUAUUUGGAAGAAGAUUUGUUCUUGGAAAAUUGCCUAAGUGUAUUUGGGUUUGUGAAAAUAUGAAAAAUGAGGUUUAAAAUCGACUAAGUAUAAAGUUGCAGGUCUUAGUUAUGGGAAAUGCGAAUAGAGGUUUGCAAUUGUGAACCCCGACCUCUGCAGAUGUGGGAAACGCGAAACAGGGUUCGCAUUUUCGUGUACGGCUCCGUGAAAAUUUGUACUCUAAAUCUAGUAACUUUUAGUGCCAUGUUUCAAAUAUGUGUUAGGAAUUUGUAAAAUUGUACUGAUCUAGCUUUUAAUAAUCAAGAAUCAACACGAAGUAAGGGUGGGUUAUGGGUUGUGGUGAUAAGGGUGGAAAAGUGAUCGAAAUCACUAUUUAAAUGCAAAUAUGCAAAAGUUGUGAAAAUCAUUGAUGUGAUGGAAUAAUGUUGAAAGGGGAAAAUGAGAGAUUGUGAAACUUGUUUGGCUUUGGUUGUUCAUUCAUGUGCAUUUGAUCGUUGAUUCUAUUACUGUUUGCUAGUUGUGCAUUGCUUGAUUUUACUUGGGGUAAAGUUUGUUCAUACAUACCAGUACAAUUCAAAUGUACCGACGUCCCUUUUGCCGGGGGUGCUACAUUUGAGUUAUGAUUGUAGGUGGAUCCAUAGCAGGUACCCCAAUCCACCGACGGUUGCACUGAAGGGAGUUAAAGGAGUUAAGGGAGUUAAAGGAGCAGCUAAAGGAUUUAUUAGAAAAAUGGUUCAUACGAUCGAGUGUGUCACCGUGGGGUGCUUCAGUUCUUUUUGUCAGAAAGAAGGAUGAGUCGCUUCGGAUGUGUAUUGAUUAUCAAUAGCUCAACAAAGUCACAAUCAAGAAUAAAUAUCCUUUGCCUCGGAUAGAUGAUUUGUUCGACCAAUUGCAAGGUGCAAGGUUCUUCUCCAAAAUUGAUCUACGAUCCGGGUAUCACCAAUUAAAGAUCAAUGAGCAAGAUAUUCCUAAGACCGCUUUCAGAACUCGCUAUGGUCACUUUGAAAUCUUGGUCAUGACAUUUGGGCAAACCAAUGCCCCGACAGCUUUCAUGGAUCUUAUGAACCAGUCUUUAAGCCAUUUCUAGACUCUUUUGUGAUGUUUUCAUUGAUGACAUCCUUGUUUACUCGCAGAUCCGGGAGGAUCAUACCUAUCACCUCAGGUCAGUUCUGUAGACUCUUCACCAGCACCACUUGUAUGCUAAUUUUAAAAAAUGUGAAUUUUGGUUGGAGUCUGUUACCUUUUUGGGUCAUGUUGUUUCCAAUGAAGGGAUUCGGGUGGAUCCUCGGAAGAUUCCAGCAGUAAAAGAUUGGCCUAGACCCACGACCCCGACAAAUAUCCGUAGCUUCUUGGGUUUAGCAGGGUAUUAUCGGAGGUUUGUGAAGGGUUUCUCUACCCUCACCUACCCAUCGACUAAGUUGAUGCAAAAAGCAAUUAAGUCCCAAUGGUCCGAUGCUUGUGAAAAAAUUUUCAGGAGUUGAAAUCAAGGUUCGACACCGGUAUUGACCUUGCAGAAGGCACAGAAGGAUUUGUAGUUUAUUGCGAUGCUUUUAGGGUUGGUUUGGGGUGUGUGUUGAUGCAACAUGGGAAGGUUAUAGCAUAUGCUUCAAGGCAACUCAAAAAUCACGAGAAGAAUUAUCGGACGCAUGAUUUGGAGCUUGUGCAAUUGUAUUUGCCUUGAAAAUAUGGCGGCAUUAUCUUUAUGGGGUCCAUGUGGAUGUGUUCUCAUACCACAAGAGUCUCCAAAAAAUUUUCAAGCAGAAGGGAGCUUGUAGUUGUUGUGUUUGCCUUGAAAAUAUGGCGACAUUAUCUUUAUGGGGUCCAUGUGGAUGGGUUCUCAGACACAGGAGUCUCCAAUAUUUGUUCAAGUAGAAGGAGAUGAACUUAAGGCAACGACGAUGGUUAGAAUUGUCCAAGGAUUAUAAUAUGAAUAUUUUAUACCAUCUAGGGAAGGCGAAUGUGGUGGCCGAUGUUCUCAGCCGGAAGUCCAUGGGUAGUUUAGCUCAUUUGGGGGCGGAUCAGAGGCCCUUGGCUCGGGAGGUGUAUCAAUUGGCCAGUCUGGGGGUUUGUAUUUCGACCUCAGAUAAGAGGGAAUGUUACGGUGCAUAAUGUAGCAGAAUCUUCAUUUAUAGCGGAAGUCAAAGAAAAGAAGUUUAUCGAUCCAGCAUUGGCACAAAUAAAGGAGGCAGUUUUGAAUGACAAGACUUCGACAUUUUCACUCGGCGGCUAUAGUGUGUUAUGAUGUUAGGGUAGGCUAUGUGUUCCAGAUGUGGAUUAUCUUCGGGAGAGGGUGAUAGAAGACUUUGUAUCUAAAUAUCCGAAUUGUCAGCGAGUAAAAGCUGAGCAUCAGCGGCCCGAUGGGUUAACUUAGCUUAUGGAAAUACCGAUGUGGAAAUAGGAGAUGAUCGACAUGGAUUUCAUGGUAGGGUUAACUCGCACUUAGCGCAAGUUUGACUUAAUUUGGGUAAUAGUGGAUCGACUCACGAAAUCAACUCACUUCUUGCCAGUCAAGUCCACCGACACUGCGGAACAGUAUGCCCAACUGUAUAUCAAGGAAAUAAUAAUGCUUCAUGGCGCUCCACUCUCCAUUAUCUCAGAUCGAGGGGCCUAAUUCACAGCUAAUGUUUGGAAGAAGUUUUAGCAAGGUUUGGGUACUCAGGUAAAUCUCAGUAUGGCAUUCCAUCCACAGACUGACGGUCAAGCGGAGCGGACUAUUCAAACGCUUGAACAUAUCUUGUGGGCUUGUGUCUUGGAUUUCAAAGCUAAUUGGGAUGAUCACUUGACACUUAUUGAAUUUGCUUACAAAUACAACUUUCAUGCUAGUAUUCAGAUAUCCCCAUUUGAGGCAUUGUACGGAAGAAGGUGUAGGCCUCCGAUUGAGUGGAUUGAAGAGGGUGAGGUAGGGCUGAUAGGGCCAAAUCUCGUGUACCGGGCUAUGGAAAAAGUUAAAGUCAUUCAGGAGUGGAUGAAAACUGCUCAAAGUUGCCAAAAAUCCUAUACGGGCGUGCGUAGAAGAGAAUUAGAGUUCUAAGUAAAUGAUUGGGUAUUCUUGAGGGUAUCUCCUAUGAAGGGAGUUAUGCAGUUUGGGAAGAAAGGAAAGUUGAGUCCGAGAUAUGUCGGGCCGUAUCGGGUCGAUCAAAGGAUAGGACAAGUGGCUUAUAGGCUGGAAUUUCCCCCUGAAAUGUCAUUAGUGCACCCGGGGUUCCACGUGUCUAUGUUGAAGAGAGUGUUGGAGAUCCAUCCACCAUCGUGCCAGUUGAGACUAUCGAGGUUAAUGAAGGGUUAUCGUAUAAAGAAGUCCCGAUGGCCAUUCUUGAUAGACAAGUCCGUAAAUUAAGAAAUAAGGAAAUUGCUUCAGUCAAAGUACUAUGGCGAAGUCAACGAGUUGAAGAAGCCACGCGAGAGAUGGAAAUUGAGAUGAAAGAAAGUAUCCCUAUUUGUUUGAACAAGUCUCGUAGUAAUCAUGCGAACUCCUAUCUCUAGGCAAACUGAUAUUGUAUCCAGAUUGGUAUAAAGGCACCCCAUUUUCCCUUAAAUGCUUUACUAUUGUAACCCUUAAUAUCUAACACGGAUAUAGAGUAAUAAAGNNNNNNNNNNNNNNNNNNNNNNNNNNNNNNNNNNNNNNNNNNNNNNNNNNNNNNNNNNNNNNNNNNNNNNNNNNNNNNNNNNNNNNNNNNNNNNNNNNNNNNNNNNNNNNNNCCCCCCCAAAGUUGUGCAUAAAUUGUACGUGUUGUGAUUAUUUGAGUUAUGUGCAAAUCCUUUUGGUAAUUGAAAGUUUUGAUUACCCAUGUAACAAGUGAGCGAUUAAUGGUAGUAUAGAUUGGUAAUGAUUAUUUGAGAUGCAUAUAGUAUGUUGACGUAAUUAAAUAUAUGCACGAGUUGAGGAAAAGAAUUGUAUACCAAUUGUAGGGACAAUAGGAAAUGUAUAUUGGUGCUUGAACUAGGUUUUAUGGGCUUUUUGAGGGGUAGAUAAGUCUAAUUAUAAAGGAAACUUUGGCAAAAUUUUCUAAAAAUAUGGGAGUUAGUGAAAACUGGGAGUCUGCAUAUCACGUUUUUCAAAAUGAGCUAAUAUCCAAAAUCCUCAUUCGAGGAUGAAUGAUUUUAAGUGGGGGAGUGCCCCAGACUGAGACAGUAGCCUUGGUAAAUUGAGAUAAAAAAUGCAGUCCAUUAUGCGACCGCAUAACUGAUAUGCAGACCGCAUAGUUAUCACAUAAUUUCCUAAGGAUUUUGUGAAGGGAUGUUCUGUAGUGCAUUAUGCGACCGCAGAACGUGAAUGCGGGCCAUAUUCCUAUCGCAGACCCAAACAAUACGCCCAGCUUUUGAGAAUAUUUUGUGGUCCACUCUGCGGACCGCAUUUCAACUCUACGAUCGUAAAGUGCGAUUGCAGAUCUGACUCGGGCUCUAAUUUUUCUAAAUUUUAAUCUCGACCCCUUCUUUAAUAAAACACCCCAGCCCCUCAUUUUUACAUAUUUUCUGAACAAACUAGAGAGAGGAAUAGAGAAUUCUUGUGAGAGAAAGUUUCACACUUAUUGAUUUGAUUCUUGGAAGUCACCCAUGCGGGGAAAUAUCAAGUAAUAGCUUUCAUCUUUGACCUUGCAGGUAAAACCCCCAAUCCUUUUUCAUUGAUUUUCAUGUUUAAACAAAAUGGGAGAUUCUUAUGCAUUAAUUCUUGAAAACCUAAGUUGAUAUACGCAUGAAUGUUCUUUAAUACCAAAAAUCUAGCAAAAGGAAUUGGAUAGGAGUAAAGAUUUGCAAAAGGAGGGGGUUGAUAACCUAAAUAAGUUUAGGUAAGUAAUUGUGAGCUUCAAUUCUAAGACAUAUGAGUUAACUUGUGGACUUGAUUGUCGGUACUAGGCUAUUGGUGAGCUGAAAGUAGAAGUAAAAAGGGAAAUUCGACUCCAGGUAUGUAUGGCUAACUUUAACCUUUGUAAGGUCAGCUUGUUGUUGUACGAGUUCUUGGUAUAUGUCACUUAUGUGGAUUGGUUGUGAAUCCUUGUGAUUAAUAUGCCUUGAACGAUGUUGGUUAAGUUUCCCGAUAUGAAGGUGCAAGUAAAUGGAAGCAAACCAAGUAUGUCUAAAUGUGUUUAUGUUGUAAGAGCUGCAUAAAAAAUGAAGGAAAGAAGUCAUAAUUGAUGUAAUUGAACAACUGUGGUAAUAUUAUGUGUGGCUUGUCGUGAGCAAUUAUUGUUGUGACCUGAAUUGUCUCCGGGUUGUUGUACUUGAUGGAAAUAGUAUUUAUGUUUAUGAAACUCUUUGUGAAUUGUUGUUGUUGUUGUGUGAAUUAUGAUUGUUUGGUGGGAUCGGGUUGCGAGCCACAACACGAAGUGAUAAGGUAUGGGUAGUGGUGAUAAGGGUGGCCAAGGUAAUAAGGGUGGAAAAGUGAUCGAAAUCGCUAUUUAAAUGCAAAUAUGCAAAAGUUGUGAAAAUCAUUGAUGUGACAGAAUAAUGUUGAAAGGGGAAAAGGAGAAAUUAUGAAACUUGUUUGGCUUUGGUUGUUCCUUUCAUGUGCAUUUGAUCGUUGAUUCUAUUACUCUUUGCUAUCUAUGCAUUGCUUGAUUUUACUUGGGGUAUAGUUUUUUCAUACAUACCAGUACAAUUCAAAUGUACUGGCAUCCCUUUUGCGGGGGGCGCUACAUUUGUGUUAUAAGAUUGUAGAUGGAUCUACAACAGGUGCCCAGUCCACCGGCAGUAGCACUCCUUCACUUCUAGUCAGCUGAGUUGGUGACCCCCUUUCUUUUCGGGGCCCUGCGGGGCUCAUGUUGCCUUCUUCCGGAGUUUUAUUUUGAUCUUUGUGUAAGAUAUAGCCGGAGCCUUGUUACAGGUAAGUAUUGUAUCUCCCUUUUUAUAUCCUUAGAGGCUCCGUAGACAGGAAAUGUUUGUUAUGAAUUUAUUUAAAUAUGUACUUGGUAUGUUGGGUGAUGUAAAUUUGAAACCACGCAAAGUAACCUUGUAUGUCAUGUAUGCCUCGUAAGAAGAUGUUUAAUUUAUAAUGGCUAAUUCACUUAGUUAAUGAGUAAUGAAAACAGGGGGUAACACGUGGGAUAGGAAAGGUACACAGGUCCGCUUGAUUGGGGCUACCCAGUCGAGCGCCAAUCAUGUCCCUCAGUUCUGGGGCGUGACAUUGCGAACCCUUGAUAAAUUCCUAACUAUCGCAUUUGCGACCUUUGGCGAAAAGGAAAACUUCGCAUUUGCGAUCUCAAACGUCGCAUUUGCGACUAGCCUUCACAUUUGUGCACACAUUGAUCGAAUUUGCGAUCAGGACUGCCCAGGUCUCAUACUCGCAUUUGCAAUGCAUGACUCGCAUUUGCGAGACCUACUCGCAAUGCGAAUCCAGCAGAUCUAAAAUACCAUCAAUUUUUCAAAGUUAAAAAAUGCACCCGUGGCUUAUCCAAAACUCACGCGAGCCCUCGAGGCUCCAAACCAAAUAUACACACAACCUCAAUAAUAUCCUAUGGACUUGUCUAUGCAAUCAGAUUGCCAAAAUAACAUCAUAAACAUCGGAUUAAACCUCAAAUCCAUGAAUUCUUUCAAACUUCUUAAAACAUUAAAUUUUCCAUUUAAAGUCCGAAUCACGUCAAACGACAUCCGUUUUCAAUCAAAUUUAAUAGAGAUGACUUCAAACAUAUAAAAGAACUGGGCCGGGCGCCGGAACCAAAAUAUGAGUCCGAUACCAUUGGUUUCUAAUCAGAUUUCAUUUCAAAUUUUCCUUAAACUUUUUCACAAAAUAAUUUUACUCAAAAAUUCAUUUUCAGGGGUUGGGACCUCGAAAUUUGAUUCCGGGCAUACGCCCAAGUCCCAUGUUUUUCUGCAGAUCCUCCCAGAUCGUCGAAUCAUGGGCCCGGGCCCGUUUAUCUAAAAUGUUGGUUGGAGUCAAAUUUAUUCAUUUUAACAUAACAAAUUAGUAUUUUUCACAGAAUUUCAUAUAUAAGCUUUCCGGCUAUGCACCUGGACUAUGCACGCAAAUCAAGGCGAUUCUAAAUGAGGUUUUUGAGGUCUUGAAAAUAUAGAAUUUGAUUAAAAAUAGGUGAUGACCCUUUGGGUCAUCAUAGAAGCUGUCACUCCCUGUGUGAGGGCGUUAAAAGGAGUCAACUAAGUUAAUUUCUCAAAUAUUCACUUAUUUUGAUGAAUUUAUCAAGCAAGUUAUUUUUCUUUAUUUUAUGACAAUAAAGUCAUUCAACUAUUACGUUAUUUGUUAAAAGGUCACGCCUGUCGAAUUAUGAUACAAGGUACACUGGAGAUUUAAAUAUACAUUGUUAGUUGAAAUUGCAUCCGCAAAAUAUGAAACUUUUAUGAACUACAACUGACAUUUUUAUGAAAGAAUUACGGCUCUUGUCACUUGGCCUAAUAGCCCAAUCGAAAAUAGUCCAGAUUUGAAGCUCUUACCCUAUUUAUCGCGUGUUGUACAUAACUUAAAAGAAUCUUUUCAGCCUUUAGCCCAGUACUAAAGACACACUUUUUGGUUUUUUUUCUUCUUUCUUCAUUCUCAGCACACCAAAUUCUCUAUCACCGCUUCGCGCUUCUUUCUUUCCAACCCACAUAGAUCCCUCAUCCAAUCCCCCGCUAUUCCCCNNNNNNNNNNNNNNNNNNNNNNNNNNNNNNNNNNNNNNNNNNNNNNNNNNNNNNNNNNNNNNNNNNNNNNNNNNNNNNNNNNNNNNNNNNNNNNNNNNNNNNNNNNNNNNNNNNNNNNNNNNNNNNNNNNNNNNNNNNNNNNNNNNNNNNNNNNNNNNNNNNNNNNNNNNNNNNNNNNNNNNNNNNNNNNNNNNNNNNNNNNNNNNNNNNNNNNNNNNNNNNNNNNNNNNNNNNNNNNNNNNNNNNNNNNNNNNNNNNNNNNNNNNNNNNNNNNNNNNNNNNNNNNNNNNNNNNNNNNNNNNNNNNNNNNNNNNNNNNNNNNNNNNNNNNNNNNNNNNNNNNNNNNNNNNNNNNNNNNNNNNNNNNNNNNNNNNNNNNNNNNNNNNNNNNNNNNNNNNNNNNNNNNNNNNNNNNNNNNNNNNNNNNNNNNNNNNNNNNNNNNNNNNNNNNNNNNNNNNNNNNNNNNCCACCCGCGCAGUUCUGCCAUCAAUGGCUCAAAGAACGCUCGGGCUCCUACUCCGUCGUCUAUGGUGGCAAGCAAAAGAAUAUUGAAAUUUUUUGAAAUUGGGUUUGACUCUUUACAAUUUGAAACCCAAUGUCCGUCGAGCUCCGAGGAGAACAGAUCAAAAGCUAAAUCAAUCUUCUACAUGAUGAAGCAGAAAGCUCCAGACUUGCUUGUUCUUGAGCUUGUUGACCUUCUUGGCUCAUUGCAAGUAAUUGAUUCCAGUGGUAUAUAUGUUGUCCUGCUUGAAGUCUCGAAUCUGAAAUUGGGUGUAUCGUACCUGUGCAUUGAAUUCCGAAUCGUAGGCACAAAAUUUCUAACCUAUAGGCGAGUUGAAUCAUCCAAUACCUUCUACUACAACUCGAGGCUUGCAUAAAAAUCAUAACUAUGUAGCAGUUUAUAUAAAUAUUGUAUAAUUGUGUAUAAUUGUGCAUACGAAUAUACAAAUAGCUCUUAUACACUAUUAUAUAUAUUUAUACAAGUUAUACAGUAUUGUACAAUUGUGUAUAAAUGUGUAUAUUUGUGUAUAAUAUUAUAUAAUUAUAUAUUUUUUUUCAGUUUAUAAGGAUGUAUAUACAUUGUUAGUGUGUAAGAGGCCUCUAUGGAAGUUUGACACUUCCUUCUCUUCUUCUUUUGCAUGUAUGUGCUGUAUAAAAAGGAUUUGUACGUGUUGGAGGGAUUCUACAAUUCAUUUACCAAGUUUUUAUUUUUAUUUUAUCAUGUUGGAUUGCUUCAGCAAUUGCACAUAAUAGUGUAUAAAAAUAACUGGUUGUAUAAAGAGGGAGCAAUAAUCGUAAUUGAUUGAGUGAAAUAAAGUUGUCUUUAGGGAAUUAGCUUAUUUUUUUGGGCUAUAGAUUUGCAAAGUGGUAUCUAAGCUAUUAUUUUGCAAGUCAGGUGUGCUAGUCAUAUUUAUGUGAAAUUAUCUCAUUUUUAAUUUAUGUUUUAUGCUAUUUUGUUUCCGGUAUUUUAUUUUAAUUAAUUUCGUCUAAAUUUAAUUUUUUUAAGAAUAUCAAAUACAAGAGCCAGCUUUUCAUAAAACCAUCAGGAGUGCAUUUAAUUGUUGGAUGGUGAAGUUGAUGGACAGAUUUUACUUCAAAUUCUUUAACGUUUUGUGGCUGGACAAAUUUUACUUCAUACGACCAAAACUCAAAAACUUGAGAUAAAAUGGAUAUUCUAUACUCCAAAUAAGCCGCCCAAAUUGUUGAAUUAUGACCUGUUUAUUAACAUGAAAUGACCUAUAAGACUCUCGGCUCAAAAUAGUGCAACCCAAUAGAUCAAAUGUAUUCCAAAUCCAAACAUACAAAAUCAAAUUUGGAGAUUGACAAUAAUUAUAAAGAACUUAAGCUAAUACUUAAAGAAGAAUAUAUUAGUAGCUUUUAAUUUCUUUUCUUAUCUCAAAAAACAAACUAACAUUGAGGAAAGUUUGGUGAUGUUGGGACUUGGGCGGCUUAAAUUAUGUCCCAUCAUUUGACUCAUUUUAAUCUAAUUCGUCAUAAAUUACAGGUUGCAUCAUAUAUAUGGACCCCAUAAUCAUAUAUCUCUCUACAACAAUAUCUCUACAAAAUCAGUGACGAAGCCAGAAAUUUUUUGAAUGGUGUUCAAACUUGAAAUAAGUAAAAAAAAAAUCCGACAAAUGAUGUUCAAUAUAUAUUAUGUACCUCUAAAACUAGAUAUUUUACUUAUAUAUGCAAUAUAAUUUUUCGACAAAGGGUGAUCAAUUGGCCACCCUAAGAUAAGUGUGGCUUCGCCCCUGUAUGUAACAACUAUUCACUAUAAAAGUCAUGUUUAUCUCGGAAUCAAUUCUUUUGUUAUGUUAUAAUAUAUGUCCUUUAUAACAGCGUUUUACUAUAGCAGCUAAAAGAAUUUGAAACAAACGAGUUUGUUAUACUAAGGUUUGACUGUACAUUGUUAUUUUCAAAAUAAAAUGGAUUUUCGGUGCACUUUGUACCAUAAUCCAGCAGGUAUGACCUUUUAAGUAACUAAGUAAUGGUUGAGUAACUUUGUUGUUAUAAAAUACAGUAAAACAUUAACUUUGCUAGACAUAUUCAUUGAAUUGAGUGAUCAUUUGGGAACUAAUCAUAUUAUAAUUAAUCAAUUAAUAUUUUUCCCGACCUUGCGUGAACACCGAAUAUCUUAUGCAUUAGAUAGAUGAUCAACUUUUUGAAAUUUUUUAUCUUUCAUUCCAUAAAGCAAGAAAUUAAUUCAUUACUGAUACAUCGUUAACUAUAUUUUAGCCCUUAUUUAUAAGUAAAACUAAACUAACUCCAUACCAAAAGGAAACAGGUGUUCUUAGUUCGGAACUAGGCUAAAAUGGAGGAGCAGUGGUAGGUUCAAAUUAGUUUCAAUCUAGUUUGUUGAAUACUUGGUUCUGUUACCUUUCAAGUCUUGUUUCUGUUGUAUCAAUCCAUCAUUUAGUUAGUUUGAAGGUAUGGGUAUAUUAGCUUGAAUUUCAGUCAUGAAGAAGCUAAAUACUUGAGUAUAGGGUACUUGUUUGCGAAAUGAGGCAAGAGUAUCAGCAUGAGUAUUUGCGAAAUUAUGCUGCUGCUGCCCAAUCCUUUUUGUUGCUGCAUUUUUCAUCCAAAUAACACAUUCUUUGCUUGUUCCAAUAUGUUCCUGAUGUUACUACAUUGUGGAUGCAUGUACCACCUGGAGGCUUUCUAGGAAUGAAAUCUGGAGCAUCCAACUUGCUCUUUAGUUUUCCAGUCGAUUUAUUUUCAUGUUUUGUCAUCAGAUGGGCAUCCUUGAUAACAUUUUCCAUGCGAGGGCUGGAAAACUGCAGCACUAUAGUGUUGGAAUUGAGUGUGACACCUGAAAUCUGCUGCUAUUCAUGUCCUACUGAAAGUUCAAUCUCCUUCAUGCCUACUGGUAGUUUGGUGAUCUGGUGCGGUGCUGAAGAUAGUUCCUUUUUGUCAUCCUUCAAAAGUUGCUGAGAGGUCAAUGUAGGCGAUGCAUUCUAAUUCUACUCACUCGGCACAAACACAUGAGUGUUUGGGCUACUUGACAGAACAUUAACAUAAGUGUUGUCCUGUUCAUGAUGCAUCUUCAAAGUUGUAUCUUGCACCUACUGCACCUUCGUGUAUUUCUUCCUUGUUGCUGCCUUUGAGCUUGCUAUAUUAAAUUAGUUUGUCCCUGAAUUGUUUUCAAUUAGCUGCUACUAUCCUGAAGUUGGUGCUGCUUUAUGUCGAUCAUGCACGGAAAUGGCAGCAGAAGUGUUCACCUGUUGCUCCUCUGCUUCACACUCAAUUUGAUCUGCCCAGAUUUUAAUCCUUGGCAGCAUUGGAUCAAAAGUUUUCUCCUCUUGUUGAAUUGUUAUUUCAUUGAUAAUCUCCCUCAAAUCUUGACUUCUGUCCUUCAUCACUUCCUUAUCAUUACCUGUAGAUAGUAGAAGUUGCCCAGAACCACCACUAUGUGAGCCAAACAGCUCGACAAUUUGUGAAGGGAUUUCUUGCGCCAAUGUAUUCAAAGUGACCAAAGGUUUCUUGAUCAUGGGCAUCAUGACCACCUGAGUGUCCUUGAUGAUUUUCUCAACUUGAGGACUAGAAAAAUGCAUCCUGGAGGGGCUAAACAUAGGUAUACGAACACCUUUCAGAUUGCCAUUGGGCUUAUCUCUAUUGCUACUGCUGGAAACUGGAACGACUGUCCAAUCUCCUGGUUUUGUAUUGUGUACUGCUGCCUGCCCAAUAGCUUCUGCUUCCUUAGUAGCCUGUUCCACCCUCUGAAUAGCUGCUGAUUUUUCAAAUGGAGCAACAGGUGCAAAAUCACCCAUAUUAACAUGCCUUGAUGCAACUUGAUUCAUAAUUUCAAUACAAUAGCUGCCUCAAAAUUUGAACUUACAGAAGCUGGAGUCUUGAGUACUUGUGCAGUAGCUUCAACUAUAUCUGUUCCCUUCUUCUUUGCACUUUGUACCUGCUGAAUCUCUGUCUGCUCCUGUCUAACAUCAACUGCCCAAUAAUUGGUUCGACAUCUGUAGCAUCUGCACUACCGAAAAAUCUCGUCUGCAGCAGUAGUUUUGAUAAACCCAAUAUUAAUUCGACUAUCAGUUGUAUUUAGAGCAACAUUAGCCUCUAAUUGUGAAUCUAUAGGACCUGGGCGUGUUUCAACUUUGUCACCUUGCCCCAACUCUGCUACUGCUGCAUUAUUUUUGCAAAAAUAUCCUCAAUCAUGUCUUGCAUGUGUCUAGUAGAGAAUGUUAUUGUCUCAUAGUGUUGCUUUAAGUUUUCCCAUAGAUGUGUGAUGAGAUCUACUUACCGGAGUUUGAGCAUGACAGAUAUUCCAGGGCCACUGCAUUCAGAAAUUGCUUAAGGAGAUUUUUAUUAUUUUUUAUGGCAUCUUUUACGUUAUAGUUGUUUAAUAGUAAUGUCGAGUUUUCUUUUAUUGCCAUUAUAUUUUUUAUUUUGCAUCUGAAAAUGUGUGUUAUAAAUCAAAAAUUCAAAAAUAGAGAUUUUGCAUUUUAUAUUUCCGUUGGAAGUUUUCUUUGGAAUACUAAUUUUAGGAAUUAAAAAAUAAUUCAUUUGAGGUAGUUUUUCCUUUCGGCAAUGAAUAUCUAGAACUUAAAAUAAAAAUUGAUUAUAUUUCCUUUUAAUGCAUUAAGACCACUAAAAAUUCAAAAAAAGAGAAGAGAAUUUCCUUGUAGUACCUCUUUAAAAGUUUUUUUAAGGUAUUAAUUCCAAAAUCCAAAAAGAUGUUCUUUUGAGGUGUUUCUUCGGGGAAUUAGUGAAAAAUGAUUUUUUUUUAAUUUUUCAUUAGAACUUUAGGAUAUUGUACAUAGGAAAAUGCGUACUUUAUAUUUUGUUUAUCAUUAGAAUUUCUUCUUUAGGAAAUCCAAAUUGAAAUCUGAAAAAAUUAUGUUGCUUGUUUUGAAACUCAGGAUAUCAAAUGAAAAUUUAAAAUAUUUUUCUGUGGUUUAUUCAUUAGAUUUUCUUCCUAAAAAAAGUCAAGAAAAAUAUUUUUCGCUUCUAGAAUUUUUCCUUGAUAGAGUAUUUGUUUCAAAAAGAAAAAAGAAGGAAAAAAAACAUGCCCGUCGAGCUUGAGUUUGGAAUAGGUUAUGGAACAUUAAGUCUAGAAAAGAAAAAAAAAGAGAAUUGCUUCUUCUAUUUCACUUUUCUCAUCAGAGUGGUCAUUAAAGUACAAAAAAAAAAAAGAGAAUGUCAGUUUGUUUAUCUUAUUCCCGAUCCUCCAGAAUUACGCAAAGAUCUGAUUCAUACGGGGUCAUGAUACGUAAGCAAACUACAUAGGGUUCGAUCGAAUCAUUUUGUUUUAUUAAAAAAACAAAGAAAAAGUAAGAGAAAAGAAAAAAAAGAUAAAAGGGUGUAAUUAUGGGACAUGAAAUUUAGAGGAAAGAAAAGAGUGAUAAAUAGAAAAAGAGGAAGGAAAAUGAUCAAACAAGUGCCAGAAAAGAAAAGAAAAAGAGAGGUUGAAAUGAACAAAUUGGGAUGAUGCCAUAUGACCUUCAUACCCUCGAAGUUAUGUUAGACCGGUAACUGCGACUAGGUGCAUUGCACGCAAUGUGAUAUUUGAGCUGUUUAAUGGCCUAACGCUAAUAUGAUGGAUUCAUUUUGUUAUACUCAUAGCAGAAGGGUGGUUGGUUUGUGGAUUAAAGUAGUAACUCUCCUCUACAACACAAAGUCAAAGGCAAUGGCGGACAACGACAUAACUGAAUUGGUUGAUACCGGGGCCCAAAAGCAGUUGGUUGACUAGAACAGUGGGUUGAUUGAAGAGGCAAAAAUGUUGAGACAACACAUGACAAAAAUGUAUCAGGAUUAGAUGACCGGGACAUAAACCACCCCCGCCACCAUCCAGCUGCUUAGAUGCUUCCCUUCUCCAAACUCCGAUCAUGGUUCUGAAUGAUCCUCCAUACUCUCUAGAUAUACCCACUUACUAAAGUUUUCCCAACCACCCUUGUAGCUCCGUCACUUGCUCUCCAACUAUCCCCAACAAUGAAUAUUUACUCAGAGCUCAUGAUAUCCAAUACUAUCCCGCAGAGGUGGCCCACAAGGUUCCUGACUCGUACAAGCAGAGACUGCAGGAUGAGCCUCAUGUUGAGAAUGAAAAGUUCACAGGAAAAGAAGAGCAGAAUGGAAUACCCAGAGGUUGGAGGGCAUAAGACCGUCCUUGAAGAACAAGCAAGGAACGGAAGACCAGGGUAAUUAUUUCAGUCAUUUGGUCCCCGCCCUGGGAAAACCUUUCAAUGAUGUGUUAAAAAUAGGGGAGCAAGUAGAAGAGGGAAUCAAGUCAGAAAAAAUCAUGAGUGGUUUGAAAGCCAUUCAGAACAUCCAAGUAAGCUUCGGCGGAAGAAAGAGCAAUAGAAAAGAUGAUCAGCAUUUUAAGCCUCGAUAUCGUCCUCGUGGAUAUCCUUGCAUACCAGAUGAUCCUCCCCAAGGCUGCUUCGCUCCAUCAAGCUCCCAAAAUCGUACAUCACUUUCCCCGUAUCCAGCUCCACAGAAUGCCUACCUGCCCCCACGUGCAUAACGAAAACCUCCCGAAUCAAGUUUCCAGCCACGGCAAGCAUGUAAGAAUGAGAGGCCACUGAAAAACGAAAAGGCUUUAACCCCUAUCAGAGUAUCAUAUGCUAGUUUGUUCCAAAGGUUGAAGCAAUGAGACAUGUUGAAGACAAUUUAGAUAAAAAUGCCAAACCCUCUAUCAAAGAAGUUUGAUGUUUCUCAAAGGUGCGCAUAUUGCUCAGAUGCCCUGGGGCAUGACAAAGAGAAGUGUUGGACAACGACAAACUGAAUUGGUUGAUAUCGCGGCCCAAAAGCAGUUGGUUGACCAGAACAGUGGGUUAAUUGAAGAGGCAAAAAUGUUGAGACAACACAUGGAGAAAUGUAUCAGGCUUAGAUGACCGGGACAUCACCACCCCCCCCACCACCCAGCUGCUUAGAUGCUUCCCUUCUCCUAACUCCGAUCAUGGUUUCGAAUGAUCCUCCAUACUCUCUAGAUAUACCCGCUUACUAAAGUUUUACCAACCACCCUUGUAGCUCCGUCACUUGCUCUCCAACUAUCCCCAACAAUGAAUAUUUACUCAGAGCUCAUGAUAUCCAAUACUAUCCCGCAGAGGUGGCCCACAAGGUUCCUGACUCGUACAAGCAGAGACUGCAGGAUGAGCCUCAUGUUGAGAAUGAAAAGUUCACAGGAAAAGAAGAGCGGAAUGGAAUACCCAGAGGUUGGAGGGCAUAAGACCGUCCUUGAAGAACAAUCAAGGAACGGAAGACCAGGGUAAUUAUUUCAGUCAUUUGGUCCCGGCCCUGGGAAUUUCAAUGAUGUGUUAAAAAUAGGGGAGCAAGUAGAAGAGGGAAUCAAGUCAGGAAAAAUCAUGAGUGGUUUGAAAGCCAUUCAAAACAUCCAAGUAAGCUUCGGCAGAAGAAAGAGAAAUAGAAAAGAUGAUCAGCAUUUCCAGCCUCGACAUCGUCCUCGUGGAUAUCCUUGCAUACCAGAUGAUCCUCCUUAAGGCUGCUUCGCUCCAUUAAGCUCCCAAAAUCAUACAUCACUUUCCCCGUAUCCAGCUCCACAGAAUGCCUACCUGCCCCCACGUGCAUAACGAAAACCUCCCGAAUCAAGUUUCCAGCCACGGCAAGCAUGUAAGAAUGAGAGGCCACUGAAAAACGAAAAGGCUUUAACCCCUAUCAGAGUAUCAUAUGCCAGUUUGUUCCAAAGGUUGAAGCAAUGGGACAUGUUGAAGCCGAUUUAGAUAAAAAUGCCAAACCCUCUGUCAAAGAAGUUUGAUGUUUCUCAAAGGUGAGCAUAUUUCUCAAAUGCCCCAGGGCAUGACAAAGAGAAGUGCUAGAGUCUAAAGAAAGCAAUUUAUAAGCUUAUCGCAUAUUACUCAGAUGCCCUGGGCAUGACACAGAGAAGUGUUGGAGUCUAAAGAAAGCAAUUCCAAAGCUUAUUGAUGCAGGUGACAUUGUCGUGGAAAAUCCAGAUGUAGCAGACACUAGCCAAAGUCCAUCGCUUGUGCAUAAUAAGAUGCACAUGUUGGAAUGUGAGAAUUCUUCUGGGCGCCUCGGAGGCACGAGUGCUGCUAAGCUUUCAGCGCUAUCAGAGGUGGAUCUUCAGAAUGAGCUGGCGAAAGGAACCCAAAAGCAAUCUGUUAAGAACAAUGUGAUGAAGGCUUGUGAAGUGCCUAAAGUUAUUGAUGUGAAACCUAGUGGCUACUAUGUCGUGAUGGGUAAUUGGGAAGACGAUCAUUUUCUUGGUCAGCCAGAGAGGAGUUUUGGUGGUUUAUUUUGUUGUCAUUUGUGUUGUCUGGAUUAUUUGUAGGGUUGUAAUUCGGAUAUUGUCUUGUGAUUCAAACCCUUCUCUCCUUUUAUUUUCCUAGUUUGUUUGGAGUCGUCUAGUUUCGUUCCAGGGUUUUAACCCCAGUCCUUUUACUUGUUUUGUUGUCCAAGUUCUUUCACCAUAUGUCUAAUGCAAUUUUCUACUUUCCGUUAUUUCUAGUCAUUUGGUUUAGUUUUCUUUUCUUUUUACAAUUCUUUCCCUGUUGGCUUUAAUGACAUGGCAUGCAUGCAUAACCCCAGGCCUGGUCUUAAAAGAUUACUCAUAAGGCAUAUAGAACAUGAAGAAAUCAUAAUAGCAAGUUUACCAAACUGCCAGGGACCAUUUGUUGUAGAUGGAGUAUUGUCCAAGGGUGCAUUAUAUUUGAUGGAUGAGGAAGAGAAAUGUGUAGAAAUGACUAUCAAUUCUGAUGCAGUCAUGAGAUAUUAUGUAUGAUUCCUUUGACUGAUUGUACUUGCUUGGCUUGGUAUAUUUUGAAAAUUGGAAUGACGAAAGCAUUUUAUUUUGCUAUCUAAACACUUUAUCCAUUGCUAACCCUUUUGAGCUUUUAUUAUUUUCUUUCAUACCCCUAUUUCGAAAUCAACAACAGAAAUCAGAAGCGCAAGUGUGAGAACGCAGUGAAAGGAAAAGAAAGGAAUGAAUGAAAAGAAUGGAAAUAAAAGAAAAGAAAAGCAAAUAAAAACAAGAAAAUAAAAGAGAAAAGAGAAAAGAGAAAAAAAAGGAAAAAGAAAGAAAGAAAAAGAAAACAAAAGAAAGGAAAAAAAGAGAGAAGAAAAAAA
rnacentral:lncRNA from 1 species